rnacentral:rRNA from 1 species
UAUUCCCGUACUUGGUGUUACUGCGAAGGGGGGACGGAGAAGGCUAUGUUGGCCGGGCGACGGUUGUCCCGGUUUAAGCGUGUAGGUGUGUGUUCCAGGUAAAUCCGGUUCACUUUAACACUGAGGCGUGAUGACGAGGCACUACGGUGCUGAAGCAACAAAUGCCCUGCUUCCAGGAAAAGCCUCUAAGCAUCAGGUAACAUCAAAUCGUACCCCAAACCGACACAGGUGGUCAGGUAGAGAAUACCAAGGCGCUUGAGAGAACUCGGGUGAAGGAACUAGGCAAAAUGGUGCCGUAACUUCGGGAGAAGGCACGCUGACACGUAGGUGAAGUGAUUUACUCACGGAGCUGAAGUCAGUCGAAGAUACCAGCUGGCUGCAACUGUUUAUUAAAAACACAGCACUGUGCAAACACGAAAGUGGACGUAUACGGUGUGACGCCUGCCCGGUGCCGGAAGGUUAAAUGAUGGG